AGAAAAUUGAAGAAAUCAAAUGCUCGGUACAGCUCAGCAAGCAAAGCUUAGAAAAAGAAAAAGCAGACAUUGUCGAGCUGUUCACUGAUCUGAUGGACUCCAUUGAGAGUUGCAGAAGCAGAAAGCAGCAGAGAAUCAGGCUGAAGAGCUGAUUAAAGAGCUGAAUAUAGAAACACUGAGCUGGAGCAGCUCUCACACACUGAAGAUCACCUGCACCUCCUACAGAUUUAUCCAUCCCUGUGCAGCCCUUAGGCACCAAGAUCUUGGCUGGGGUCAGUACUGACACUCAUCUGAAGGAGGACGCUGUGAGGAGAGCCCUGACAAAGCAUCAAUAAUUCUUCAGUAGUGCAAUGGUGAAGAUUACAG
rnacentral:lncRNA from 1 species